UUGUACACACCGCCCGUCACACCAUGGAAGCUGGUCACGCCCGAAGUCGUUACCCUAACCUUUCGAGGAGGGGGACGCCGAAGGUAGGACUGGUGACUGGGGUGAAGUCGUAACAAGGUAGCCGUACCGGAAGGUGUGGCUGGAUCACCUCCUUUUUAGGGAGACCCAAAUCAAUUCAAAAGUCAAAAUUCAAAGUUCAAAAACAAGAAAAAGCUUUUGAAAAUUUGAAUUAAGAAGAAAAGUUUGAAUUGGUUUUAUCCCGAGGUCGUUCGCAAGGUUAUAACAGUAAGCUUUCAAACUAUAAGUAAGGUUCGGAUAUGGGCUAUUAGCUCAGGUGGUUAGAGCGCACCCCUGAUAAGGGUGAGGUCCCUGGUUCGAGUCCAGGAUGGCCCACCUGAAGUCAAUUCCAAAGUUAAAAUGAGGAAUUCAAAAUAAAAUUUUGGAUUUUGAAUUUUGAAUUUUGAAUUGCUUGGGGGGGUAUAGCUCAGUUGGUAGAGCGCCUGCUUUGCAAGCAGGAUGUCAGGAGUUCGAGUCUCCUUACCUCCACCUGCACCAAAAGUUUUUCAACUCUACUUUUUUUGUACUCAAAACCAAGUGAUUGAUAAAGAGUGCAAUCAAGUGAAAAAUAAAAAACAAAGGUGAGUAUCCAAAAGUAAAAGAGUGGGUAAAGUUCAGCAUCUUGUGAAUGCCACAAGACUGCUGGGUAGAAUCCAGUAAAAGAACCUUGAAAACUGCAUAGAGACGCGAGAAAUGUUAGGUAGUUAACGUUAAACAGUUAACACUCCAAGCAAGAAAAGCAAUGACUAUUUGUAGUCAAGCAAGAAAAGGCGAAUGGUGGAUACCUAGGCACACAGAG
rnacentral:misc_RNA from 1 species